rnacentral:rRNA from 1 species
UGCAGUUAAAAAGCUCGUAGUUGAAUUUCUGCGUCACCGAAUUUUGACUUUUGUCGACUGUCGGUUUCGCUUUUGGGAUUUAUCCCUUUUUACUUUGAGAAAAUUAGAGUGUUUCAAGCAGACUUUUGUCUUGAAUACUUCAGCAUGGAAUAAUAGAGUAGGACUUUGGUUCUAUUUUGUUGGUUUGUGAACCUUAGUAAUGGUUAAUAGGAACGGUUGGGGGCAUUCGUAUUUAACUGUCAGAGGUGAAAUUCUUAGAUUUGUUAAAGACGAACUACUGCGAAAGCAUUUGCCAAGGACGUUUUCAUUAAUCAAGAACGAAAGUUAGGGGAUCGAAGACGAUCAGAUACCGUCGUAU